CCUACGGGAGGCAGCAGUAGGGAAUCUUCCGCAAUGGACGAAAGUCUGACGGAGCAAUGCCGCGUGAGUGAAGAAGGUUUUCGGAUCGUAAAACUCUGUUGUUAGAGAAGAACAAGGAUGAGAGUAACUGCUCAUCCCCUGACGGUAUCUAACCAGAAAGCCACGGCUAACUAC
rnacentral:rRNA from 1 species